UCUUCGGGGAUGAUUAAACCGGCGCACGGGUGAGUAACACGUGAGUGACCUGCCUUUUAGACUGGAACAACUUACCGAAAGGUGAGCUAAUGCCGGAUGAGUUAUAUAAGUGCAUGUUUAUAUAGGAAAAGUUGGGGAGACCUGACGCUGAAAGAUGGACUCGCGUCCCAUUAGCUAGUUGGUAGGGUAAUGGCCUACCAAGGCGACGAUGGGUAGCCGGCCUGAGAGGGUGGCCGGCCACACUGGGACUGAGACACGGCCCAGACUCCUACGGGAGGCAGCAGUGGGGAAUUUUGCGCAAUGCUCGUAAGAGUGACGCAGCGACGCCGCGUGAAUGACGAAGGCCUUCGGGUCGUAAAGUUCUUUCGACAGGGAAGAAAAUGCCUAUAAGUAACUGUGUAUGUAUUGACGGUACCUGUAUAAGCAGCCCCGGCUAACUCCGUGCCAGCAGCCGCGGUAAUACGGAGGGGGCGAGCGUUGUUCGGAGUGACUGGGCGUAAAGAGCACGUAGGCGGUGUUGUAAGUCAUUAGUCAAAGACUAGAGCUCAACUUUAGUAAGGCUAGUGAUACUAUAAUACUAGAGUAUCAGAGAGGAUUGCAGAAUUCCUGGUGUAGCGGUGAAAUGCGUAGAUAUCAGGAGGAAUACCGUUAGCGAAGGCGGCAAUCUGGCUGGAAACUGACGCUGAGGUGCGAAAGCGUGGGUAGCAAACAGGAUUAGAUACCCUGGUAGUCCACGCUGU
rnacentral:rRNA from 1 species